GUCCUAACCAGAUGUCCGAGCCACCUCAGCUGACUCCUCUCCACGUGGAGGAGCAGCGGUUCUCCUCUGAGCGCCUCCCGAGUGUCCGAGCUCCUUACCCUAUCUCUAAGGCUGAGCCCGGACACCCUGAGGAGGAAACCCAUUUCAGCCGCUUGUAUCUGCGAUCUUGUUCUUUCGGUCAUUACCCAAAGUUCAUGACCAUAGGUGAGGAUCGGCACGUAGAUCGACCGGUAAAUCCAGAGUCUCUCCUUACGGCUCAGCUCUUUCUUCAUCACGACUGAUCGGUUAAGCGUCCGCAUCACUGCUGACGCCGCUCCGAUCCGCCUGUCGAUCUCCUGCUCCAUCCUACCCUCACUCCUGAACAAGAUCCUGAGAUACUUGAACUCCUCCACCUGAGACAGGACCGCCCCUCCGACCUGGAGAAGGUGAUCUACCUUUUUCCGACUGAGGACCAUGACCUCGGACUUGGAGGUUCUGAUUCACAUCCCAGCCGCUUCACACUCGGCCGUGAACCGCCCCAGCAAGAGCUGAAGGUCACUGCUCGACGAAGCUAGAAGAACCACAUCAUCCGUAAAAAACAGCGACGCGAUCC